AUUGAACGCUGGUGGCAUGCUUUACACAUGCAAGUCGAACGGCAGCGCGGGCUUCGGCCUGGCGGCGAGUGGCGAACGGGUGAGUAAUGCAUCGGAACGUGCCCAGUAGUGGGGGAUAGCCCGGCGAAAGCCGGAUUAAUACCGCAUACGACCUGAGGGUGAAAGCGGGGGACCGAAAGGCCUCGCGCUAUUGGAGCGGCCGAUGUCGGAUUAGCUAGUUGGUGGGGUAAAGGCUUACCAAGGCGACGAUCCGUAGCUGGUCUGAGAGGACGACCAGCCACACUGGGACUGAGACACGGCCCAGACUCCUACGGGAGGCAGCAGUGGGGAAUUUUGGACAAUGGGGGCAACCCUGAUCCAGCCAUGCCGCGUGCGGGAAGAAGGCCUUCGGGUUGUAAACCGCUUUUGUUCGGGAAGAAAUCCUCUGGGCUAAUACCCCGGGGGGAUGACGGUACCGGAAGAAUAAGCACCGGCUAACUACGU
rnacentral:rRNA from 1 species